rnacentral:misc_RNA from 1 species
GAAACGCGAUAGUUAAUGUGAAUUGCAGAAUUCAGUGAAUCAUCGAGUCUUUGAACGCACAUUGCGCCCCCUGGCAUUCCGGGGGGCAUGCCUGUCCGAGCGUCAUUGCUGCCCUUCAAGCCCGGCUUGUGUGUUGGGUCGUCGUCCCCUCCGGGGGACGGGCCCGAAAGGCAGCGGCGGCACCGCGUCCGGUCCUCGAGCGUAUGGGGCUUUGUCACCCGCUCGAUAAGGACCGGCCGGGCGCCAGCCGGCGUCUCCAACCUUUUUUUCUCAGGUUGACCUCGGAUCAGGUAGGGAUACCCGCUGAACUUAAGC